rnacentral:misc_RNA from 1 species
AAGUCGUAACAAGGUUUCCGUAGGUGAACCUGCGGAAGGAUCAUUAAAGAAAAUGCCCCGGACGUGCCGAAAGGCGCCGAAGGGACUUCUCUUCCACCCACCCCCACUGUGAACCUUAGCGUGAGGUCAGUAAGGGCGCACCCUCGAUCCAGGGGGACGGCUCUGAAAGCUUCGCGAAACCCAUACCUACAUACCCGUAUGCAAGUCUCAGAAUGUACAUGUUGCGCGUCGUCGCAAAUAAAAUACAACUUUCAGCAACGGAUCUCUUGGCUCUC